UGGGGAAUAUUGCGCAAUGGGGGAAACCCUGACGCAGCGACGCCGCGUGCGGGAUGAAGGCCUUCGGGUUGUAAACCGCUUUUGAUUGGGAGCAAGCUUUCGGGUGAGUGUACCUUUCGAAUAAGCGCCGGCUAACUACGUGCCAGCAGCCGCGGUAAUACGUAGGGCGCAAGCGUUAUCCGGAAUUAUUGGGCGUAAAGAGCUUGUAGGCGGUUCGUCGCGUCUGAUGUGAAAGCCCCCGGCUCAACCGGGGAGGGUCAUUGGAAACUGGUUGACUUGAGUGCAGAAGAGGAGAGUGGAAUUCCAUGUGUAGCGGUGAAAUGCGUAGAUAUAUGGAGGAACACCAGUGGCGAAGGCGACUCUCUGGUCUGUAACUGACGCUGAGGCUCGAAAGCGUGGGUAGCAAACAGG
rnacentral:rRNA from 1 species